rnacentral:rRNA from 1 species
AGUCGAACGGCACCUUUCGGGGUGCAGUGGCGGACGGGUGAGUAACGCGUGAGAAUCUGGCUCCAGGUUCGGGACAACCAUUGGAAACGGUGGCUAAUACCGGAUGUGCCUAAGGGUGAAAGAUUAAUCGCCUGGAGAUGAGCUCGCGUCUGAUUAGCUAGUUGGUGGGGUAAGGGCUUACCAAGGCGACGAUCAGUAGCUGGUCUGAGAGGACGAUCAGCCACACUGGGACUGAGACACGGCCCAGACUCCUACGGGAGGCAGCAGUGGGGAAUUUUCCGCAAUGGGCGAAAGCCUGACGGAGCAAUACCGCGUGAGGGAGGAAGGCUCUUGGGUUGUAAACCUCUUUUCUCAGGGAAGAACGCAAUGACGGUACCUGAGGAAUCAGCAUCGGCUAACUCCGUGCCAGCAGCCGCGGUAAUACGGAGGAUGCAAGCGUUAUCCGGAAUGAUUGGGCGUAAAGGGUUCGCAGGUGGUAGUGAAAGUUUGCUGUUAAAAGUCGGGGCUCAACCCCGAACCGGCGGUGAAAACUACACAACUAGAGUGCGGUAGGGGCAGAGGGAAUUCCUGGUGUAGCGGUGAAAUGCGUAGAGCUCAGGAAGAACACCGGUGGCGAAAGCGCUCUGCUAGACCUGCACUGACACUGAGGGACGAAAGCUAGGGGAGCGAAUGGGAUUAGAUACCC